UACGUAGGGUGCGAGCGUUAAUCGGAAUUACUGGGCGUAAAGCGUGCGCAGGCGGUUUUGUAAGCCAGAUGUGAAAUCCCCGGGCUUAACCUGGGAAUGGCAUUUGGGACUGCAAGGCUGGAGUUUGGCAGAGGAGACUGGAAUUCCUGGUGUAGCAGUGAAAUGCGCAGAUAUCAGGAGGAACACCGAUGGCGAAGGCAGGUCUCUGGGCAUUAACUGACGCUGAGGAGCGAAAGCAUGGGGAGCGAACAGG
rnacentral:rRNA from 1 species